AUUGAACGCUGGCGGCAGGCCUAACACAUGCAAGUCGAGCGGAUGAAGGGAGCUUGCUCCUGGAUUCAGCGGCGGACGGGUGAGUAAUGCCUAGGAAUCUGCCUGGUAGUGGGGGAUAACGUCCGGAAACGGGCGCUAAUACCGCAUACGUCCUGAGGGAGAACGGGGGGGAUCUUCGGACCUCACGCUAUCAGAUGAGCCUAGGUCGGAUUAGCUAGUGGGUGGGGUAAAGGCCUACCAAGGCGACGAUCCGAACUGGUCUGGGAGGAUGAUCAGUCACACUGGAACUGAGACACGGUCCAGACUCCUACGGGAGGCAGCAGUGGGGAAUAUUGGACAAUGGGCGAAAGCCUGAUCCAGCCAUGCCGCGUGUGUGAAGAAGGUCUUCGGAUUGUAAAGCACUUUAAGUUGGGAGGAAGGGCAGUAAGUUAAUACCUUGCUGUUUUGACGUUACCAACAGAAUAAGCACCGGCUAACUUCGUG
rnacentral:rRNA from 1 species